rnacentral:lncRNA from 1 species
CCCGGGAGAAGCGCCCGGAGCUGGGGAUGGGAGCGAAGCUGGAGGGGCUGCGGCAUUUUUCCUCCUUGCUGCGGAUGUGGUGGAGGUGUGGAGCCCGUGUGGAUGGGGGGGCAGCAGGAGAGACCCCUCCCUGAUGGGUGGCAGAGGGCUUCCAGGCCUGGGGUAAAGGGAACAUGCCCUAUGGGGGAUUUGGUGGAUUGUGGGAGCGAGGAAAGGCAUCCCUGGGAGAAUGGGAGGCGUGCUGGAGAGCCUGGUGCUCCUAGCAAGGGGAAACUGACUGCUGGCACCUGCCCAUCGUGGACGGGAACAGGUUUUCCCUAAUUAGGCUAAUCAGCGGGGGAUAAAAGGCUGCUCACCUGGGCCCACAGCUCUCUGCUUUGCUGGAGGGAUGGCUCCGAACCACGACAGCUCAUGAGCAUCCGCGCUGCCCUGGCUGCCGCCUGCCAACACGAAGGUUAUGAAGAACAGCAAGAAAGAUCAAAAAAAAAAAUCUCCCUGCAGAAGAGGGCAUGGUGCAUGUAUCUGCAAGUUGCAGCAGCCCGGAGAACAAAAAGGCUGCUGUUUGGAAAUUAAGGCAGAAGUAUAACGAGCUUAAAGGAACAGCGCAAGGAAAACUGAGAGUCCCAGCACUGCCCGGACCAAGAACAGCCCCGUCCCCGUGUCAUUGUCCUGGAGCCCAGGGGGUGCAGAUGUUACAGAAACCCAAAUCAGAGAGCUCCUUGUGCCUCGAGAGCACUCACUUGUGUCCUGGAUGACUUCAUAACUACAGGAAACAGGUAUUUGAGGUUCUGCUCUGUUCCGUAAACUUCCCUGACUUUAUACUUAAGCUUCCCUGAUUUUACUAGAGUUGCAAAGUCCUUGGAAAACUUUG